AAUGGGCGAAAGCCUGACGGAGCAACGCCGCGUGAGGGAUGAAGGCCUCUGGGCUGUAAACCUCUUUUAUCAAGGAAGAAGAUCUGACGGUACUUGAUGAAUAAGCCACGGCUAGUUCCGUGCCAGCAGCCGCGGUAAUACGGGAGUGGCAAGCGUUAUCCGGAAUUAUUGGGCGUAAAGCGUCCGCAGGCGGCCCUUCAAGUCUGCUGUUAAAAAGUGGAGCUUAACUCCAUCAUGGCAGUGGAAACUGUUGGGCUUGAGUGUGGUAGGGGCAGAGGGAAUUCCCGGUGUAGCGGUGAAAUGCGUAGAUAUCGGGAAGAACACCAGUGGCGAAGGCGCUCUGCUGGGCCAUCACUGACGCUCAUGGACGAAAGCCAGGGGAGCGAAAGGGAUU
rnacentral:rRNA from 1 species